rnacentral:tRNA from 1 species
AAUAGUGUGGCUCGGUGGAAAGAGCCCGGGCUUGGAAGUCAGAGAUCAUGGGUUUGAAUCCCGGCACUAUCA